UUUGUUAAUAUUUUGUUGAGGAGGACUUUUGCAUCUGUGUUCAUCAAGGAUAUUGGCCUAUACAUUUUUUGUGGUAUCUUUGCCUGGUUUUGGUUAUGAGAGUAAUGCUGGCCUUAUAAAUUGCACUUGGAAGCUAAUCCUUCUUUUGGAAGAUUGUGAGAGGUAUUAAAUCUUACUUAAAAUUUGGUAGAAUUUGCCAGUGAAGCUGUUUCUAGACUUUGGCUUAUUGGGAAAUUUUUAAUUUACUGUUUCAAAUUUCCUUACUAGUAAUCAGUCUAUUCAUAUUUUGUUUCUUCAUGAUUGUUUUGGAAGGUUGUACAUUUCUAAGAAUUUAUUCACUUCUAGGUUGUCCAGCUUGUUGGCAUGUAAUUGCUCAGUGUCUUUUAGGAUCCUUUGGAUUUCUGUGGUAUCAGUUAUACUAACUACUACUCUUUAAUUUCCGAUUUUGAGUCUGCUCUUACUUUAACUUGGUUAGUCUACUGAAGAUUUGUAGAUUUUAUCUUUUUGAAGAACCAGCUCUUAGUUUCAUUCAUUUUUUGUAAUUGUCUUUUGUCUCUGUUUCUGCUUUAAUCUACCUUCCACUCCUCUCAGGCUUUGUUCUUUUUCUAGAAAGUUCCUUUAGAUAUAAAGUUACGUUGGCAAUCUGAUAUUUUCCUUGUUUCUUCAAGUGGGCAUGAACUUCCCUCGUAGAACUGCUUUUGCUACAUCCUAUAUAUUUUGGUGUCAUAUUUUGGUUUUGUCUCUAGGUUUUUUAUUUCUUUGAUUUCUUUGAUGACACACUGGUUGUUCAAAAGCACAUUACUUAAUCUCAUAUUUGUGCCUUUUCCCAUUUUUUUGUAAUUAAGUUAUAGUUGUAUACCAUUGUGGUCUAGUUUCAUACCAGAGAUGCUUGAUAGAAUUUCCAUUUUCUUUAAUUUGUUGAGUCUUGGUUUUUGGCCUUAUUCUUGAGAACAUUCUACAUAGACUUGGGAAUGUGUAUUCUGCCUUUUAGAUGGAAUGUUCUGAGUAUGUAUGUUAUGUCCAUGUGGUAUAAAGUCCAGUGUUUCUGUAUUGAUUCUUUUGUCUGGAUGAAUUAUCUAUUGACAAGAGUGGGAUAUUAAAGUCUCCUACUAUUACCAUGUUGCUUUAUCUCCCUUUAGGUCUAUUAGUAUCUGCAGACAUCCAACAACUGAGCCACCCAGGUGCCCUCUAGUCUUUGUUUUAAAGUCUGACUGGAGUAUAGCUAAUCCAGCUUUCUUUUCAUUUCCAUGGAGUAUCUUUCUGUCCGUUCCAUUUUCAGUCUGGGUAUGUCCUGCAGUAUCUCUUAUAAGUCAUAGAUGUUUUUACCCACACAACCAGCCACUCUCUGUCUUUUGAUUGCAAAUUUAGUCCAUUUUCAUUUAAUUAUUGGUAGGUAUAUUCUUACUGACAUUUUGUUAAUUGUUUUCUGUUUAUUUAGUUCUCUGAUCUUCUUUCACUUCUCCCUUGUGUUCUGAUGGCUUUCUUUAGUGUUAUGUUCAGAUUCCUUUCUCAUUUUCUUUAGUGUACUUACAUUUUCCCCUUGUGGUUACCAUGAGGUUCACAUAAAAUAUGUGAUGUAAAUAACAGUCUGUUUCAAGUUGAUAGUAACUUAAUUUUAGAAAUCUUCUCUUUUAUAAAUCCUCCCUCAAAAAUGAAUGAGACAGCACCUUAGCAAUUUUUCUUUCAGUAAUAAAAAGUCUUUUCAACCAAAUCACAAUAGUCUUCCUUUGGGGUUUUUUUGUUAGCUUGACUGAUAUGCCCUCCUCACAGCAAAUUAUCUAUCACUCAUGAUUUGGGGGUCCACAGGCCCAUAAAGCAGAGGAGAAAAAGAG